rnacentral:lncRNA from 1 species
AAAACAAGCUGCAAAGCAUACACACAUGGAUUACGUUUUAAGAUCUUAUGAUGCCACAGUGAUCAAUAUAACUGUCUGGUGGUGAAUACAAAAAUUACUACAAACUUUGUAAAAUCAGCACGGCACAAUAAAAAGUCCAAAUAUUUUAAAGACUAACCUGGAUUCAAAUUCCAACCUCUCUAUUUACUAGCAAUGGGACCUUAGAGAGGUUGUUCAAAAUCUCUAUCAUCUCAUUUCUAAAAGAUGGAUGUGAAGAUUAAAUUAAAUACUGUCUGUGGAAUUCAUAACAGGCUUAAGUCAUCAGUACUCAGAUUUGAUCCCACAUCUGAUAGCAGGUUUGACUCUUAGGCUAAGGAGGACCAUUUCUUCCUGCUUAGUCUGGCUAACUCCCACUCAUCUUCCAAGACUUUGACCCUGGGAUACCUUCUCUCGGCAGCUCCUGACUACCACCAACCUACUCUGAUUCCCAGAUGGUCUGGGCAUCUCUUCCUGUAUUCCCCUGACACUUUGUGUGUAUCUAUCUAUCUCAAACCACCAAACACUGCCUGCCUCUCCUCUCAGACUAGAAGAGCUUAGAAAGGUCCAGAGAUUGUUCUCACCAUUUUACUCUAGUUCCUCCUAUGCCAUAGGUGUUAAACAUAUACUUGCUUUCAGAAAGUUGAAUUAAAUAAAGACACACACAAAAUUCUAUAAAACCAUACCCCCAAAGUGUUAAAAAAAAAUGUUUUCCUCCCCUGUCUUUUCACUGGCCAUAAUUGCUGCAGUCUUACUGCUGGAGCCCAGAACUUUGAAGUUGCUUGAUAACAGUGUUAGUGGCGCUAAAAAGGCAAAUCAAAAGAAUCUCUAAGGGGUUGUUUCUUUCUUGAAUUUGAAAGCCAGUGUCCAAACUCUGAGAUCUUGUGUCAAGAAAUGACAGUCUUGGGAGUUCUCUUUGUGGCUCAGUGAUAACGAACCUGACUAGUAUCCUUGAGGAUGCGGUUUUGAUCCCUGGCCUUGCUCAUGGGUUAAGGCUCCGGCGUUGCCAUGAGCUGUGGUGUAGGUGAAAGACGUGGCUCCCAUCCCUCAUUGCUGUGGCUGUGGUGUAGGCCGACAGCUACAGCUCUGAUUCGAUCCUUAGCCUGGGAACCUCCAUAUGCAGCGGGUGCAGCCCUAAAAAGGCCAAAACCAAACCAAAUCAAACCAAAAACAAGUCCCUUUAGGACAAGCAUAAGAAGAUUUCCAGUUACUUUGAUCUUUCUACUCAUUGUGAGGCCAUUUCUUCCCCAAAAUAAACAUGGGAGAUAAAAGCAAUGGUAGGGUUUACUUAAGAUCAUUAUUGAUUUGAGAUCCUCAUGGAAGUGACAUAAGCUAUGCGUAAUUCUGUCAAAACUGCCAUCCCAUUGGUUACUUCUCUCUCUAGCCCCUGCAUAGUAUCCUCUCUGGUCAGGGCAACCAGAUACUCCUCCGAGGACAAUCUGUUUUUUUUUUCAUUAAAUAGGCAAUGAGGGAGAAGGAAAGAACAAGUAGUAUUACUUACUUAGGCUGCCAACCUUUAUGUAUUUUGCAUAAAUUAUUUCAUUUAAUCCUCUCAAAAGCCCUGUGUGAUAGUUAAACAGUUCAUUAUCUUAGUUUUACAGAUGUAAGCCCAAAGACAUAGGGAGCUGAGAACUUGCCCAAAGUUACACAGACCAGAAGAAGCUCUCAGUGCCAUAUGGAGCUCCUACACAAGGAAAUUUCUAUUCAAGAAGACACCUAGUUGUACAUGGUUCUUUCAUUCAGUCUUAGGCUUUGGAGCCCCACAAAGGGGAUUGUGUUCCAGGCACAGAAUGUACUGAGUGAGUGUAUAAUCUGCAUGUAUGUUUGUUACUUCAUCUUUUUCAGGCUCAAUUUUCUUAUUUGAAAAUGAAGAUUAUAAAGAUGCCUGCCUCGAAGAUUGUUUGGAAGAUGAAAUGAGAUAAUGCAAGUUCUCAGCACAGUGCAACUGCCAGUACAACACAUUUAAAUAUGUUUCUAUCAAGAAAGCAGUCCCGGUCCAGUGAGGGUGCCAGUGUCAUAAUCCACCUGCUAAGAAACAGUGAGCACUGUUUUAAUAAUCGUAUAAACUAAGCUCUAUAGGAAUCCUAAUGAGGGAGUGAAGGAUUCUGUCUGAGGGACCAGAGAGGGCUCCCUAGAGGUGACGACCUUUGAGCUGAGCCUUACAGGAUCUGUCCUGUUUCUCUGAUUUGGGGGAGUGGUGGUACAGGGGUUGUAUCACAGGCCUGGGGAACUCUGUAGACAAAACUUGGGAUACUAGAUGGGGGUCCAUGGAGACAAUGGCAGGAGAUUCAGCUCAAGCCAUAGGUUGAAUUGGUGUGAAGAAUCUGGCAUGUGGGGCUCCAGGGUUCGGGUCCUUGCUGUAGGCAGUGGAGAACCAGAAGGAUUUCCUAAGCAAGGGAGCCAUGUGUUCUCAUUCGAAUACUGGAAAAAGAACUGGGGAAGCCACCUGGACCAUAGAUUAGAAGGGAGAGAGCUGGAGGAAGGAAGACCACAGCGAUUCUCCAGAACAUAACAGUUGAACAAGGGCCUGGGGAAAGGAUGGGAAGUAGGGCCCCUCCCUCUGACGGAUGGAUUACAGGUAUCAGCGACAUGGCCCUGUUACACAUCUCUUGAGGGCAAUGCUGAAUCAAGUCAUAAGCUUAAGGCAGUUCUUAAGAAUUUGAGAAGUGAGGGGACUCUAAAUAAAAGAAACCAACAAAAAUAAGGGUAGUUUUGUGGGGUAUGCAGCAAAGAUUAUUUGAUCUGGAUGGGCUUCUAACUUAUUCUCUGGAUACCUCCAAUAAGGCUUUAAAGUAUAAACAGUUAUUGGAGGUUGGCAUUCUAUAAAUGGACUGUGAAUAUGAUAUUUCUCCCAGAUUCUGAACCCCAACAUUCUUCUGGGGAAGUUAUGUUGGUCAAAAUCAAGUCAUUAGGGAAGAAAAUACU